ACCAUGCAAGUCGAACGGUAAGGCCCCUUCGGGGGUACACGAGUGGCGAACGGGUGAGUAACACGUGGGUAAUCUGCCCUGCACUUCGGGAUAAGCCUGGGAAACUGGGUCUAAUACCGGAUAUGAACUCCUGCCGCAUGGUGGGGGUUGGAAAGUUUUUCGGUGCAGGAUGAGCCCGCGGCCUAUCAGCUUGUUGGUGGGGUAAUGGCCUACCAAGGCGACGACGGGUAGCCGGCCUGAGAGGGUGAUCGGCCACACUGGGACUGAGACACGGCCCAGACUCCUACGGGAGGCAGCAGUGGGGAAUAUUGCACAAUGGGCGAAAGCCUGAUGCAGCGACGCCGCGUGGGGGAUGACGGUCUUCGGAUUGUAAACCCCUUUCAGUAGGGACGAAGCGCAAGUGACGGUACCUGCAGAAGAAGCACCGGCUAACUACGUGCCAGCAGCCGCGGUAAUACGUAGGGUGCGAGCGUUGUCCGGAAUUACUGGGCGUAAAGAGCUCGUAGGCGGUUUGUCACGUCGUCUGUGAAAUCCCUCGGCUUAACCGGGGGCGUGCAGGCGAUACGGGCAGACUUGAGUACUACAGGGGAGACUGGAAUUCCUGGUGUAGCGGUGAAAUGCGCAGAUAUCAGGAGGAACACCGGUGGCGAAGGCGGGUCUCUGGGUAGUAACUGACGCUGAGGAGCGAAAGCAUGGGUAGCGAACAGGAUUAGAUACCCUGGUAGUCCAUGCCGUAAACGGUGGGCGCUAGGUGUGGGGUUCUUCCACGGACUCCGUGCCG
rnacentral:rRNA from 1 species